AACGAACGCUGGCGGCAUGCCUAACACAUGCGAGUCGAACGAGAUCUUCGGGUCUAGUGGCGCACGGGUGCGUAACGCGUGGGAAUCUGCCCUCAGGUUCGGAAUAACCAUUGGAAACGAUGGCUAAUACCGGAUGAUGACGUUAAGUCCAAAGAUUUAUCGCCUGAGGAUGAGCCCGCGUAGGAUUAGCUAGUUGGUGUGGUAAAGGCGCACCAAGGCGACGAUCCUUAGCUGGUCUGAGAGGAUGAUCAGCCACACUGGGACUGAGACACGGCCCAGACUCCUACGGGAGGCAGCAGUGGGGAAUAUUGGACAAUGGGCGAAAGCCUGAUCCAGCAAUGCCGCGUGAGUGAUGAAGGCCUUAGGGUUGUAAAGCUCUUUUACCCGGGAUGAUAAUGACAGUACCGGGAGAAUAAGCUCCGGCUAACUCCGUG
rnacentral:rRNA from 1 species